rnacentral:rRNA from 1 species
AGAGUUUGAUCCUGGCUCAGGACGAACGCUGGCGGCGUGCCUAACACAUGCAAGUCGAGCGAAUGAAGUUCCUCCGGGAACGGAUUUAGCGGCGGACGGGUGAGUAACACGUGGGCAACCUGCCUCAUAGAGGGGAAUAGCCUUCCGAAAGGGAGAUUAAUACCGCAUAAGAUUGUAGUACCGCAUGGUACAGCAAUUAAAGGAGCAAUCCGCUAUGAGAUGGGCCCGCGGCGCAUUAGCUAGUUGGUGAGGUAACGGCUCACCAAGGCGACGAUGCGUAGCCGACCUGAGAGGGUGAUCGGCCACAUUGGGACUGAGACACGGCCCAGACUCCUACGGGAGGCAGCAGUGAGGAAUAUUGGACAAUGGAUGGAAAUCUGAUCCAGCCAUGCCGCGUGCAGGAAGACGGCCUUAUGGGUUGUAAACUGCUUUUAUACGGGAGCAAUAAGGGUUACGAGUAAUCCGAUGAGAGUACUGUAUGAAUAAGGAUCGGCUAACUCCGUGCCAGCAGCCGCGGUAAUACGGAGGAUCCGAGCGUUAUCCGGAAUUAUUGGGUUUAAAGGGUGCGUAGGCGGCCAUUUAAGUCAGCGGUGAAAUUUUGCAGCUUAACUGUAACAGUGCCGUUGAUACUGUUUGGCUAGGAUUUGGUUGUAGUGUGCGGAAUGUGUGGUGUAGCGGUGAAAUGCUUAGAUAUCACACAGAACACCGAUUGCGAAGGCAGCACACUAAGUCAUUAUUGACGCUCAGGCACGAAGGCGUGGGGAUCAAACAGGAUUAGAUACCCUGGUAGUCCACGCAGUAAACUAUGAUUACUCGCUGUUUGCGAUACACAGUAAGCGGCUUAGCGAAAGCGUUAAGUAAUCCACCUGGGGAGUACGUUCGCAAGAAUGAAACUCAAAGGAAUUGACGGGGGCCCGCACAAGCGGAGGAACAUGUGGUUUAAUUCGAUGAUACGCGAGGAACCUUACCCGGGCUUGAAAUGCAUCUGACAGGAGCAGAGACGCUCUCUCCCUUCGGGGCAGAUGUGUAGGUGCUGCAUGGUUGUCGUCAGCUCGUGCCGUGAGGUGUCGGCUUAAGUGCCAUAACGAGCGCAACCCUCAUCAUUAGUUACCAUCAGGUUAAGCUGGGGACUCUAAUGAGACUGCCAUCGUAAGAUGCGAGGAAGGUGGGGAUGACGUCAAAUCAGCACGGCCCUUACGUCCGGGGCGACACACGUGUUACAAUGGGUGGUACAAAGGGCAGCUACAUGGCGACAUGAUGCUAAUCUCCAAAACCACUCUCAGUUCGGAUCGGAGUCUGCAACUCGACUUCGUGAAGCUGGAUUCGCUAGUAAUCGCGCAUCAGCCAUGGCGCGGUGAAUACGUUCCCGGGCCUUGUACACACCGCCCGUCAAG